UUGUCUCUGUUAUCAUCACCCUUGUUUAUUUAUUUUUGGUUGGGUGGACGGGAUUGUAAGGUUUGAUCAGCGUAUCGUUACAAUUAUCCAUUGUUAUGAUGUUUAUUACCUUAGUGUAACCACCUAAGCCCACCGGCAGAUAUUGUCUUCUUUGGACUUUCCCUUUUGGGCUUCCCCUCAAGGUUUUAAAACGUAUCUAAUAGGGAGAGGUUUCAAUAUCCUUAUAAGGGAUGUUUUGUUCCCCCUCCAACCAAUGUGGGAUCUCACAA